rnacentral:rRNA from 1 species
GAGUUUGAUCGUGGCUCAGGACGAACGCUGGUGGCGUGCCUAACACAUGCAAGUCGAGCGGAAAGGCUCCUUCGGGAGUACUCGAGCGGCGAACGGGUGAGUAACACGUGGGUAAUCUGCCCAGGACACAGGAAUAACCAGUGGAAACGCUGGCUAAUGCCUGAUGAAGUGCCGGCCCUGCGGGGCUUGGUACCAAAGGUAGCUUCGGCCUCCGGUCUUGGAUGAGCCCGCGGCCCAUUAGCUUGUUGGCGGGGUAACGGCCCACCAAGGCGACGAUGGGUAGCUGGUCUGAGAGGACGAUCAGCCACACUGGGACUGAGACACGGCCCAGACUCCUACGGGAGGCAGCAGUGGGGGAAUCUUGCGCAAUGGGCGAAAGCCUGACGCAGCAACGCCGCGUGCGGGAGAAGGCCUUCGGUUGUAAG